rnacentral:scRNA from 1 species
CAAGUCCGACUUGAAGAUUUGUACUGUCGGCGCC